CAACUUUCUCGUGUUCCAUGACUCUGACCUCAAGGAAGUGAGGAGUAUUGAUGUCGUAUUACCUUGCAGAUGAAGGCGUAUCAAAAAAAGAAGAAAAAAAAAGGGCAUGCAUGCAGCUAUUUGGAAUGGUUGGAAUCGGUAAUAGAGAUGGAGCUCACAUGAAGUAAAUAAGAGAAUGAUAGUCAAAAAGAGAAAUGAUUGUGUUGGAAAAAGAAGAUCUUGGAGAUGCAUUGUACAUCCAUGGGAGGCCAUUGGAAUUAUAAAUAGGCUUCCCCUUCCGUUGAAAAAUGUACAACCGAUCCAGAAACAAGAGAGAGUGAGGGAGAGAAGAAUUUGAGAGUGUGAGAGCUCUAUCUUAGAAAGAGUUCUAUCAGAGGAAGAAAUUCUGUCCGUAUAAACACCACAAGAGCUAAAUAUAAUUUCACUCCCAAUAUUCAGUGGUACUUCCCAUACUCUAAUUAUUUUAUUUUAUAAUAAAAUGUAAUAUAAAAAUGUACAAGUCAUGGAUUGACCUAAUUGUAAAUUUGAUACAGGUUGUUUAUGUUGCGGGUCAUCUGUUGCGGGUGAUUUGCUAUUAUCAUGGCUUGUAGUUAUAAGCACAUGACAAUUUAAUCUAAAUCAUUGAUACAUCUUAAAUUCAGCUGCACUAGCACAUGUUAAAUUCAAAGUUGAAAUUGCUCUUCUCAGAGUUGUCAAGUCAUGUUCGUCUUACCCAUAAGAAUCUCAUGCAAAAGUAAAUAGAACGACAUCAACUU